GUGUUUGCUUCAGCAGUACAAGUACUAAAAUUGGAAUGGUACAGAGAAGAUUAGUAUGGCCCCUGUGCAAGAACGACAUGCAAAUUCUUGAAGCAUUUCAUAUUUUU
ensembl:snRNA U6 U6 spliceosomal RNA